UUACUUCCGUUAACACAAAAGCAGCAGCUUACUAUCUCCAAGUGACACAUCCAAGUGUGGCCCUCAGAUUUCUGGAGCCUGCAUAGAGUCUCGUAUCCAGACAGCAUGAGGAGGAUCGGUACACAGCAGUUGCAACUGUGUUAAAGGUGAAUGCCGGUACUCACAACUGCAAAUAAAAUCACCACACACUGUACGGCCUUCACACUGAGGCUUCACCAUACUCACCUGCAACCGCUGUAAGCUUGGGUUUAUUCGGGGGCUGAGUCCCCAUUUAAGUGGCCCAUCGACAGCUAAAGGUGCCAGCACCAUGAAGGGGUGGAAGAUUGGCUUUAGUCAUUGUGCUUCUGGCCUAGAAAACACCACCAUCUGAUCUUAUUUUGCAAUAAAUACAAGAAAAGGACGGAUUCAUUUUGGAUAGGAGAGGGUUAACUGUCCUGCAAAACCUCCUUGACAUAGUAACAAUACAUGGACCAAUAGAAUUUCUUUCCCAGCAACACUUGGCCUGCACGUCUAUGAACUUGAGCUGUCUCCUCCUCAAUCACCAUAGCGACAAGAUAUUUGGGUUCCUUGAGACUUAUUGUUCCCCGUCCAUCCUUUGCCGUGCUAGCAGAAACACUCCUACUCCUCCUGUUCACAGUAUCAAGGGAAGCAGAGGGAGGUGUCCACCCAUCCUGGCAAACGACAUUGCGAGGGAAUGUGACCUGAUCACUAAUCGCCCAUCUCACAUUCUGGACUGCAGAGGUGGAGUUCUGCUGGAGAUGUUCUCUGCCUGGACAAUCACACAACCCUUUCCAGCCCUCAUUAAGCUGCAACAAAACAGUCUGCAUUCCGUCCCCCUUUUGCACAACCACGAUGGAAUGAUCUGUCUGGAUGGGAAGCAAACAGAAGCUUUUCACUGUAUCAUGAUACUGCCCGAUCUGGUGUCAUUUCCAGCAAAUGCCAUUUUUAAAAAUGGAAAUAUCACAAGAAAACACUUCUGUAUUUUAAUAUUUUAAUUGGAUCAUCCUUCAGGAAUCUCUUAAUUGAAAGGAUUCCAACUUGGUUAGAUGACUAGUUAAUGUUAUCCAUUACUCGGGUUAAAUAUAUCCAUAAUACAUUGUAUUAUUUCCUACAAUAUAGAAACCAGUACAAAACACAGUAUUUAAUCAGUGCUUAACCAAAAGUAUAUAGCCAUCUGCCUUUCAGUCUAUUCCUUUGAAAGCCUACAGUCCAAAUCAGUGAAUUUAAACUUUGCAAAUUGGUUUAUUAUUGUCACAGUGAAAGAUUUCGUUUUGCAUGGCAUCUAAGCAGAACAUUAUAACACAUCAUUACAUUGAAGUAUAAAAGGCAAAACAAUAAGAGUUCAGACUAAAGUGUUGCAGUAACAGAGAAAAUGCAGUGCAGACAGACAAUAUGGUUUAAGGACAUGAUGACGUAGACUGCCCUUGAGCCUGGUGGUGCAUGAUUUCAGGAUUCUGUACUUUCUGCUUAAUAGGAGGGAGAGAAGAGAUAACAUCCGGAGUUAAUGGCGUUUCUGAUUAUGUCAGCUGUUUUGCUGAGGCAGCGAGGAGUGUAUACAGAGUCCAGAUAAUAUGUGAAAAUGUGAGGGUAUAGACAAUAGACAGUAGGUGCAGGAGUAGGCCAUUCGGCCCUUCUAGCCAGCACCACCAUUCACUGUGAUCAUGACUGAUCAUACACAAUCAGUACCCUGUUCCUGUCCUCUCCCCAUAUCCCUUGACCUCGCAAUCUAUAACAGCUCUAUCUAACUCUCUCUUGAAUGCAUCCAGAGACUUGGCCUCCACUGCCUUCUGGGGCAGAGCAUUCCACAUAUCCACCACUCUCUGGGUAGAAAAAGUUUUUCCGCAUCUCUGUUCUAAAUGGCCUACCCCUUAUUCUUAAACUGCGGCCUCUAGUUCUGGACUCACCCAUCAGCGGGAACAUGCUUCCUGCCUCCAGUGUGUCCAAUCCCUUAAUAAUCUUAUAUGUUUCAAGCAGAUCCCCUCUCAUCCUUCUAAAUUCCAGUGUAUACAAGCCCAGUCGCUCCAAUCUUUCAACAUAUGACAUUCCCGCCAUUCCGGGAAUUAACCUUGUGAACCUACGCUGCACUCUCUCAAUAGCAAGAAUGUCCUUCCUCAAAUUUGGAGACCAAAACUGCACACAAUACUCCAGGUGGGGUCUCACCAGGGCCUUGUACAGCUGCAAAAGGACCUCUUUACUCCUAUACUCAAUUCCUCUUGUUAUAAAGGCCAGCAUGCCAUUAUCUUUCUUCACUGCCUGCUGUACCUGCAUGCUUGCUUUCAUUGACUGACGUACAAGAACACCUAGAUCUCGUUGGUAUGAAGAAUCCCCUCUGGUACGAAAAAUAGAAUGGAAGAAUGUUGCUUCAAUGGAGUGAGAAAGCAGAAUGUGGCUAUAAAGAGGGGUUCCUGCGGAUCCCUUGGUUAAUGGUAAGUCUCCAUGGCAUAACGUAAGUUGGGAACCGUUGCUGUAAAGGGAUUUGGUCUCCUUGUAUAUGAAGUGCGGAGUCAGCAUACAGAAACUGCAAGGAAUUAGGAAGGCAAAUUGAAUGUUGUUUUUUUGCAAAGAGAAUGGGGAAUAAAAGUAGGAAAGUUUUGCUACAACUGCACAUGACCUUGGCAAGAUCACAGGUGGCGUACUUCAGGCAGCUUUUCUCUCAUUCUGGGGAAGAUAUAUUAAUGGCAAUUCACUUGCCUUGAUUCAUGGAAGGAAAUCAAUGAUUUAUGAGAAAAGGUGGAGACAAUGUUCAUUCAUUACAGUAAAACUAAGAGGUGAUCUCGUUGAAUCAUUAAGCACCAAGAGACAAGGUAGAUAUGGGCAGGUAGUUUCCCCUCAUGGGGGAAUCUAGAAAGUGGCCAAAGAAUAAGAGCUCAUGCAUUUGUGACAAAGACUAGAAGAUGAGAGAUGAAGAUAUUAAAGUAGGGGUUCCUAAUCUAGGGUUCAUGGACCCUUCAGUUAACGUUUGGGGUUCAUGCAUAGAAAAAGUUGGGAACCCCUGUGCUAAAGGGUCAUGAAUUUCUGGAACUUUUUUGUUACCUAGGGAACCAGAGGCCAAAUCAUUGCUUAUAUUCAAUGAUCAAUAGAUUUUUGAGCUACCAGGGAACCAUGGGUUAUGGACAACAUGUGGGAAAGUGGAGCAGAGAAGAAGAUCAUAACAGAUACAAUCAUCUUGAAUGAUGAACCAUAUUCAAGGAUCAAUAAGGGCAAUUUCUUUGUCUAUUUCUCAUGUUGUUAACAUGGAAUGAGGAUUCCGAAAGGCUCUACCACAAAUUCCUCUUCUUCAUCCUCAUCACAAUGAUGUCCUUGGCCAUUCGUGAUAGGGUCAGGAGCUUCACAGGACAGUUUCAAGGAGAACAGAAACCAGAUGCAGUUCUACCACUACGCAUGACACACUGCCAAGAUACCAGUUUUUUGUGCCAAUAUAAUUUUGCUUCCUCGCAGCCUUAUGCAAAGCAAGCAGCCCCAACUCUUGCAAACUCUGCCCACUCUGAAAGGCUGCUGUUGAGGCAGCCAAGCUCUCACCAACACUGCUCCCAUUGAUUUCAACAGCACCAGCUUUGUAUGCAUGAGCAGCUUCCCUCUUAAACAAUGGACUCCUUGUAGCCCAGUGUCAACACAAAGGCAGCAAUGGUUGGCAGCGCCAAGCAGAGCCAUUCUGUUCUGCAGCCUGUGUAGUGUAGAGGGCAUCUGGGGAAAAAAGGCGAAGCAACUCGUAGUUAUAUAACAUCAUUUGCAACCAUAGGACCUUAAGCCAAUUAUUUACUUUUACCCUUAACUGAAGUAAUUCAGGUCCUCAAGACAGCAAUAAGAUCAGAAUCAGAUCAUCUCUUUUCAGAUAUUGGUGGCAAAAACAACAGCAAAGUUCUCCUGACCAGUAUCCCCAAUCUGCUUUCCCAGUAUUAUUGAACACUCUCACCACCCCCAAUCACUACAACACUCCCACCACCCCCAAUCACUACAAUACCCUCAGCACCCACAAUCACUACAACACCCUCACCACCCCCAAUCACUACAACACUCCCACCACCUCCAAUCACUACAACACUCCCACCACCCCCAAUCACUACAAAACCCUCAGCACCCACAAUCACUACAACACCCUCACCACCCCCAAUCACCACAACACUCUCACCACCCCAAUCACUACAACACUCUCACCACCCCCAAUCACUACAACACUCCCACCACCCCCAAUCACUACAAUACCCUCAGCACCCACAAUCACUACAACACCCUCAGCACCCACAAUCACUACAACACCCUCACCACCCCCAAUCACUACAACACUCUCACCACCCCAAUCACUACAAUACUCUCACCACCCCCAAUCACUACAAC